GCUGCGACUGGUUCUCCCUGUUGGACAUUAACUGAAAUUUAGAAAUAUCAAACAAUUCUAGAAUUAUGUAUUCCGUGGCUUUCAGCAUUCUUAAUUAGGGUUGACUACCACUAAAAGGACGAUUCUAGAUAUUUAAUAUAUGAUAAUUAUGUGCCAUGAGUUGAAGAGCAAAAACAUAAAUUAAGAAGAGAGAAAAAUAGAAAGCCCUACAAGAUCGAUAAUUAGCAUUGGGAGUUCAAAAAUGCGAGUUUAUUGCCUCAAACUAUAAUUCUUUGGCAGUAUGCAGGGAGAGACCAUUCAUAUCACCAAAAAUAAAUCAAACACAGAUAUAUGGGAGAGAAGCAAUGAAGUCCAAAAAAUUUAGUAAGUUUUUGGAAGCAAUGUUGAAGGUUCAAAAUCUCCACAUCACAGUAUGACAAAUAAACUACAAUUUGCCUGAAAACAAAUUGAAAAAGAUGUGUGAAAUGAAUUCAAGGUAAUUGGGUGGCUGGCUUCAAGUCCCUUUGAGAAACUCAACCUCCGGGCUGUAUAACAAAAUCUCAAGGUUUGGAAUUCACAAGAAUUUGGGAACAUUCAUUUUACACUUAAUGAGCUAGUAAAUUAAGCAAGUUCAUCAUUUGGAGCAUCCAAGAAGAAAGAGACUUGUCUUAGAAGGGAAAGCCUUAAAGGGUGCUUCUUGUGGUGCGCAAGCAAACUAGGAGGAGGAAAACAGGGAUGUAGCGUGCGGGUCUUAAUUCAGUAAGAUUUAUAACACAAUUUGCGCCGUAUGUGGAAAAACACGGUACGUUCUUGAGUUGUUCUGAUUUACUUGCGCUACUAAGUCAUGUUAGGAGCUAGAGAUCUGAUGGAUCUAGAUACGCAAGAUCCCCGACCAAAGACAAGUAGGGAAAAGAGCAGGCCCCUAGUUGUUCAAUCAAUGGUGGAGAUCGCCUGAUCCGCCUACAUGGCAUUAGGUCGUUGGUGCAGAACUUGGAAGAUUAGAUGGAUGGCAAAAGCGCAACCACCGACGCAAUUUGCCUUGAGAUCAUCCGCCUAAAAGCGGAACUCAAAAAGGUCAAAUCGGGAGGCCUCGCGGAAAAUGAGCUCGGAGGCCCGUCGGGGUUGCUCACCUAGGCAAAGUGAGCACGUUUGGUCCGUGAGGAAGGAUACUCCUGUUUGGUUCGAGAGAAUAUAUAGACACUCCUGUUCGGUCUGGUAGAUGGGAAGAUCCUGUUCGAUCCGUGAUAGGGAAUAUGCCUGUUCAGUUCGUGCGAGAGCAUAGUGUGGCCGGGAGUACGACACAUACACACCGGCACGGUCAAGGAGAGUGUACCGGUCGGGAGACGAAAAAAACCAAGAUGAUCAUCCACGAAUCCUUCUCCUAUACUCGACCGACUGACUUGAGAGAGUUCCUAGACCGGAGGUGCGGGGAGCGGACUUAAUUCCCACGCAAGGAGCCAAUGCGGUUCAAGGAGAAGAACCCCAUAUAGAGGCUAGCUUUGUGUCCAUUCUCCCCGAAGAUAGAAGAGGUAGAGUCACCGAAGAAGUUUUCCAUGCCCAAGUUCAACCUAUAUGAUGGGAGGAUUGACCCCUAUGACCAUCUAAGCCACUAUAGGCAGAUGAUGGUCUUGUGACAAAGCAAUGACGCACUUAUGUGCAAAGUCUUCCCAUUUAGACUUGGCAAGAUUGGGCUACUUUUGUGGGACAAGCUAGUUGUCGGAUCUAUCCUCAAUUGGAGGCAGCUCUCUGAGAUCUUCGCGACUAGGUUUAUCACUAACGCAAGGAUCCCCAAGGAAAUGAAUUCGCUUCUCGGUAUGAAGAAGCAGAGCCGAGAGUCACUAAGGGACUUCUCCCGGAGGUAUUGGGAUACAUACAACGAAAUUGAGAAUUGCACCGAGCAGCUAGUGAUGGAUAUCUUCAAGCACGGUCUGGAUCGAGAUGCGUUGUUCUGCCAAUAUGUCACGUUGGCUCUGGAAGUCAACAUGGAUGAGUUGAUGUUGAGGAUCGAGCAACAUACUCGGUUGGAGGAAGACAUGGUCAAGUAUUAUAUUGGUUCGUCUUCCCUCAAAUGUGAUGGAUAAAAGGAUGGCCGAACAAAAAAAGAGUGAGGUUGGAGGCCUUGUUUAGAAAGGUCAUUAAUCAUUCGGAGUUCAGGGCUUGGAGAAGACAUGAGCGGUAACAGAUUUUUAGGGUGUAGAUGAAUCCCUAAUUUGAUUUAUGUAUUUAGUUUAGGAUUUUUGAGAUUGAUUCAAUGAUGGUAUAAGUUUUAAUGUUUUUGAUUUAUUCAAUGUUUUGAUUGUUUUAAUCUAGCAAUCGUAUUUAUUUUAUGUGAUUACAAAAGAUGAGGUUAUAGAAUGGGAAUCUUCGAUGUGUGGUCGUUAGAUUAAGACAGCUUAUACUAAGAGAAGACAGAUCGUGCCGUUGAGAUAGUCUUUGCCAUAGAGACGAACUGUAUCUUUGAAACGAUCUGUACUAAUCGAAGAUAGGUUAUGCAUUUCUAUGUCACACUAAUUUUCUAGAUGACAAGCCAUGGCAGGUUAUUAUUAAAUUGAUUAAAGUAACUUAGAUUUUAUGCAUAUUCAUUGUCACGAGUUAGGGUGCAUACUUGAAUGACUAUUAUUUUAAUUUAUUUGUUUUCAUAGUUUUUCAAUUAAUUACACUUUCAAUUCAAAUUUUUGUUCUAAAUUAAUCUAAGAAUUAGUUUUGAAAUAACAUAACUUAGGCUUGAUCCCCGUGAUGUGAUAUUCAGACUAAAACAACUAUUGCAAUUGAAUUGGUAUUUAAGAAUAGUUUAUAUUUAUUUUUUGGUUCGAAACGACAUGGUCAAUCACCUAUGUAUUGCCUCUGUCCCAUAUUGUUGAUCGAUUAUUCAAUUUUAAGAUGUUUCAAAAUGUAUUCAAAUUUCAAAUUUUCAGCAAAGAAAACUAUCCAAAUUUUCUUUUUUAACUGUUCUUUUAUAUUUAUUUAAGUAAUAUUUCAAUUUAAAAAAAAAGUUAAAUGUCAUGAUUAUAAGUGUAAAAUUAAAAGGUUAAUAAAAAUUAAAUGUAAUAAAGGCAUGAUUUAAAAAAUUAAAUUUACAAAAAAGGACGAGCAAUAUAUGGGAGUGGGACGGAGGGAGUAUAAGGCAAUAGAGAGGAGAGAGAGAAACAGAGUACUACACCCGUAGGGACGAAACCAGGAUUCCACCAUUGCAGUAAGGGGCAUUCGUAGGAAGACCCCCGGCCACCAUAUCAUAUUUAUUGUAUAUAUAUGUAUGAGAUAUAUAUUAUAUUAGAGUUUUAUCAAAAGUAGGGGUCAUAGUCCUUUACUGUCUAAACGUGGUUUUAUCCUUGCUGGCAGCUAAUCUUACCGUGCCUCAUAAGCACAUGGGUCUGCAAUAAAUUUUCCCUCCAUUCUUUUUCCUCUGUUUUUUCUCUCUUUCUUCCCGUACCACACCCCACUGUGGCAAAGAGCAAACCCAGUUUUUCAGCCUUUUGACUUUCUAACUUUUAAAUUACUUUGAACUUCCCUGAGAUGUUGUCUUCUUGAUGAGGUGGCGGAUUUGUGACGGAAACAACAGAGAGAAGAGGUGCGGUGUAAGCCGCCGCGAGAGCGUGAUCAGAAAAACAGAGAGAGACGGGGCGUUUUGUUGACGAAGGGAAAAGUUUACUAUGAACCAUAAAUUAUAAAGAGUUAUGUGGUAAUUUUUCGAAGCGAAGUGAAGUAUUGGAAUAAAAAACAAAUUCGAACAAAGUAUUGGAAUACCUCAAAAAAUUCCUAUAUUGCCCUUGAGCGAAAGGAAUGAUGUUUCGUAGACAGUUGAUGCCGAAGUAAGCUUGGUGCCAUCUCUGGGGAGGCUGACUGUUCUUGUUUGCGAGAGAUACGGAAAUUUUGAUGACUGCAUAAGCCACGCGCCAUUUCCUCCCGUAAGUUUUCGAAGCAGUGACUUCCAUGAAGAAAGACGAAGUGGUUCGUUCAGUGGGUUUAAGUGUUUGAGUCUUCGUUCCUGAAGAAACGAAUGGCAAAAGAAAAAAAAUAAAGCUUUCCCCCAAGAAAUUAGAAUGUUUUGUCAAAUCAAUAAGGUCCAAUUUCAAAAUGUGGUGAUGCACCUAUUUGUAGAGGGUGGG
rnacentral:lncRNA from 1 species